ACGGAAUUGGUGUAGUGGUUAACAUUUCGGAUUCUCAUAAAGUCUUCCGAAGCCAGGGGUUCGAUUCCCCUAUUCCGUG